AUUGAACGCUGGCGGCAAGCCUAACACAUGCAAGUCGAACGAGUGGCGGACUGGUGAGUAAUGUCUGGGAAACUGCCUGAUGGAGGGGGAUAACUACUGGAAACGGUAGCUAAUACCGCAUACCAUCGGAUGUGCCCAGAUGGGAUUAGCUAGUCGGUGGGGUAAAUGCUCACCUAGGCGACGCUCCCUAGCUGGUCUGAGAGGAUGACCAGCCAAACUGGAAAUGAGACACGGUCCAGAAUCCUACGGGAGGGAGCAGUGGGGAAUAUUGCACAAUGGGCGCAAGCAUGAUACAGCCAUGCCGAGUGUAUGAAGAAGGCCUUCGGGUUGUAAAGUACUUUCAGCGGGGAGGCGUUACCCGCAGAAGAAGCACCGGCUAACUCCGUGCCAGCCGCCGCGGUAAUAC
rnacentral:rRNA from 1 species